CUUGUAUGGGACUCUCUCUGCUUCCUGGACUUAGAUGUCUAUUUCCUUCAACAGGUUAGGGAAGUUUUGAAUCAUUAUUUUUUCAAAUAGGUUUUCAAUUUCUUACUCUCACUGUUCUUGUUCUGCCACUCCCAUGAUGGGAAUAUUGGUACACUUGGAGUUUUCCCAGAGGCUCCUUAAACUAUCCUCAUGUUUUUGGAUUCUUUUGUCUUUUUGCUAUUCUGAUUGGGCAU